rnacentral:misc_RNA from 1 species
AUAAUUUGUUAAUUGGAAUUUUGUGCUUCAGUUGAUAUUAUUUAUUUACUUAUUUAUGUUGUGAAAUAACUCUAGUUGUGAUAUUAAUGGAAUAGAAACUAGUUUCUUUUUUAGGGCAGUUUACAAGGGCCAGAAUUUGAAUGGAAUUUUUAUAUUGAUUGAGGAACUAGCAAUUAGCUAACUAGUUGACAUUAUCAGUAUUUGAGCCAAAGGGCUCCCAUAAUCUUUUAUAGGCAUCAAGGGCUAGUAAUUAAUAUUUAUCUGCAUUAGGAAUGUAUAAAACUAGUUUCUUUUGGUUUGCAUGACUAUUUUUAAUUUUUUUUAUUUAAUAGGGGAUGUUAGUUCAUAUGAAAUCUAUCUUCCAAUUCAAAUUGGUACAUAAUUGAACGUAGAGAAGAAUUGUAAACUAAUAAGUGAGUAUCUGCUCUUGAAAACUUGGUUUUAUUUUAUUUUAUUUUUGUUUGUUGAAUGUCAGACUGCAAAAGAGAACUUUGAAU